rnacentral:rRNA from 1 species
GGCGGCGUGCCUAACACAUGCAAGUCGAGCGGGGACAUGCGACGGAACCGGAAGUUUUCGGAUGGAAGGCGAAGAUGGUAUGGUUCGUAUCGGCGGACGGGUGAGUAACGCGUGAGCAACCUGUCCUUCACAGGGGGAUAACACAGCGAAAGUUGUACUAAUACCGCAUAAGACCACACCGGGGACAUCCCGGAGGGGUCAAAGGAGCAAUCCGGUGAAGGGUGGGCUCGCGUCCGAUUAGAUAGUUGGUGAGGUAACGGCCCACCAAGUCGACGAUCGGUAGCCGACCUGAGAGGGUGAUCGGCCACAUUGGGACUGAGACACGGCCCAAACUCCUACGGGAGGCAGCAGUGGGGAAGUAUUGGGGCAAUGGGGGAAACCCGUGACCCAGCAACGCCGCGUGAGGGAAGAAGGUUUCGGUAUCCGUAAACCUCUGUCCUUGGUGAAGAGAGAGAGACGGUAGCCAAGGAGGAAGCCCCGGCUAACUACGUGCC